GAUAUAGUGGCUCAGUUGGUAAAGAAUCUGCCUGCAAUGCAGGAGACCCAGGUUCGAUCCCUGGGUCA
rfam:Ovis aries breed Texel chromosome 7, whole genome shotgun sequence.